CCCAGACUCCUACGGGAGGCAGCAGUGGGGGAUAUUGCACAAUGGGGGAAACCCUGAUGCAGCGACGCCGCGUGGGCGAAGAAGUAUUUCGGUAUGUAAAGCCCUAUCAGCAGGGAAGAAGAAAUGACGGUACCUGAGUAAGAAGCCCCGGCUAACUACGUGCCAGCAGCCGCGGUAAUACGUAGGGGGCGAGCGUUAUCCGGAUUCACUGGGUGUAAAGGGAGCGUAGACGGCCGUGCAAGCCAGGAGUGAAAGCCCGGGACCCAACCCCGGGACUGCUCUUGGAACUGUGCGGCUGGAGUGCGGGAGGGGCAGGCGGAAUUCCUGGUGUAGCGGUGAAAUGCGUAGAUAUCAGGAGGAACACCGGCGGCGAAGGCGGCCUGCUGGACCGCGACUGACGUUGAGGCUCGAAAGCGUGGGGAGCGAACAGGAUUAGAUACCCUCGUA
rnacentral:rRNA from 1 species